rnacentral:rRNA from 1 species
AUGGGGAAUGGGUCACAUGCUUCUGUUCGUGGCAUUGGCACGGUGGAUCUGAAGUUUACUUCGGGAAAGAUCGUGCAACUAAGGAACGUGCAACAUGUCCCUACUAUGAACAAGAAUCUAGUUAGCGGCUCCCUUCUAUGUCGAGAUGGAUUUAAGGUAGUUUUAGAGUCCAAUAAAGUAAUCGUGUCAAGAUUUGGACAAUUUAUAGGAAAAGGCUAUGAGUGCGGAGGCUUGUUCCGUUUUUCUCUUUCAGAUUUUUGCAAUAAGUCAAUAAACCAAAUUUGUGCUAGUGUUAAUGAUGAUGCAAGUAUUUGGCACUCUCGUUUAUGUCAUAUUAAUUUUGGUUUAAUGUCUCGGCUAUCCAGCAUGAGUUUAAUUCCGAACUUCACAGGUGCCAAAGGUUCUAAGUGCCAUAGUUGUGUGCAAUCUAAGCAACCUCGAAAGCCUCAUAAGGCUGCCGAGGAGAGAAACUUGGCACCUCUAGAACUCAUACAUUAUGAUCUUUGUGAGAUGAAUGGUGUGUUGACAAAAGGUGGAAAGAGAUAUUUCAUGACUUUGAUUGAUGAUGCGACUAGAUUUUGCUAUGUUUAUUUGUUGCAAACUAAAGAUGAAGCAUUAGACUACUUUAAAAUCUAUAAAGCUGAAGUUGAAAAUCAACUAGAGAGAAAGAUCAAGCGUCUUAGGUCCGAUCGUGGUGGAGAGUAUUUUCCAAAAGUUUUUGAUGAAUUUUGUGAGGAACAUGGUAUUAUUCAUGAGAGGACGCCUCCCUAUUCACCUCAAUCAAAUGGAGUGGCCGAGAGGAAAAACCGCACAUUGACUGACUUGGUGAAUGCCAUGUUAGACACUGCUGGUUUAUCUAAGGCAUGGUGGGGGGAGGCUCUAUUGACUUCAUGUCAUGUCCUGAAUAGAGUUCCCAACAAUAAUAAAGAGAAAACCCCUUAUGAGGAGUGGGUUGGGAGAAAACCAUCACUUUCUUAUUUGCGCACUUGGGGAUGUUUGGCAAAGGUCAAUAUUCCUAUUCCUAAGAAACGCAAACUUGGACCAAAGACAGUGGAUUGUGUCUUUCUAGGGUAUGCUCAACGGAGCAUUGCUUAUAGGUUUUUAGUGGUAAAAUCUGAAGUACCUGAUAUGCAUGUUGAUACUAUAAUGGAAUCUCAUGAUGCAGCAUUUUUUGAGAACAUAUUUCCUAUGAAAGAUAUGCAUAGCAUUGCUAGAUUUUCUUCUGAGAUAAUUCCUGAAUCUAGUACAACUGAUGAAUUGUUCGAACAAUCACAUGAAGAAGUCCUUGAGAAGGAUAACAAUGAAGUUCCUAGAAGGAACAAGAGACAAAGGAUUGCAAAAUCCUUUGGUGAUGAUUUCAUUGUAUACCUUGUGGACGACACACCCAAGACGAUUGCAGAAGCAUAUGCAUCUCCGGAUGUAGAUGAUUGGAAAGAAGUUGUUCAUAAUGAGAUGGACUCAAUUCUUUCUAAUGGAACUUGGGAACUAACUGAUAGACCAUAUGGUUGUAAACCUGUGGGCUGUAAGUGGGUGUUCAAAAAGAAGCUGAAGCCUGAUGGUACUAUUGAUAAGUACAAGGCGCGGCUAGUGGCCAAGGGCUACACUCAGAAAGAAGGCGAAGAUUACUUUGACACCUAUUCACCCGUUGCUAGAAUGACCACCAUUCGAGUGUUACUUUCCUUGGCUGCCUCUUAUGGUCUUAUCAUUCAUCAAAUGGAUGUAAAGACGGCUUUUCUCAAUGGAGAGUUGGAAGAGGAGAUCUAUAUGGAUCAGCCUGACGGGUUUGUGGUAAAGGGUGAAGAGAGAAAGGAGGCUGAUAGGUGUGUUUACUAUCGCCAUGGUGGGGGCAAUAGUGUCAUAUUAUGUUUGUAUGUGGACGACAUACUGAUCUUUGGUACAAACAUUAAUGCAAUUAAUGAGUCUCACUAUGUUGAGAAGGUCUUGAACCGAUUCGGUUUUAUGGAUAGCAAGCCUUCUCCAACACCUUAUGAUCCCAGCGUGACACUCAGAAAGAACAAGAAAGAAACGAGAGAUCAAUUAAGAUACUCUCAAAUUGUCGGUUCACUCAUGUACUUAGCUAGCGCUACAAGACCAGAUAUCUCUUUUGCUGUGAGCAAACUGAGUAGGUUCAUGUCCAACCCGGGUGAUGAUCAUUGGCAUGCACUAGAAAGGGUCUUGUGCUAUCUGAGAGGUACUAUGAGUUACGGAAUUACUUAUUCAGGGCAUCCUGCUGUGCUAGAAGGAUAUAGUGAUUCAAAUUGGAUCUCCGAUGUUGAUGUACUUUACGCAACAAGUGGGUAUGUAUUUACUCAUGGUGGUGGCGCAGUGUCAUGGAGGUCUUGCAAGCAAACCAUAUUGACGAGGUCAACUAUGGAAGCAGAAUUAACUGCUUUGGACACAGCUACUGUUGAGGCAGAAUGGCUGCGUGAGCUCUUGAUGGACUUGCCGGUUGUUGAAAAAACCUGUACCGGCUAUUCUUAUGAAUUGUGA